UACGUAGGGUGCGAGCGUUAAUCGGAAUUACUGGGCGUAAAGUGUGCGCAGGCGGCGCCGCAAGUCGAGUGUGAAAGCCCCGGGCUUAACUUGGGAAUUGCGCUCGAAACUAUGGUGCUGGAGUGUGGCAGAGGAAGGUGGAAUUCCACGUGUAGCGGUGAAAUGCAUAGAGAUGUGGAGGAACACCGAUGGCGAAGGCAGCCUUCUGGGCCAACACUGACGCUCAUGCACGAAAGCGUGGGGAGCAAACAGG
rnacentral:rRNA from 1 species